AUCUCAUUGACAUUUGGCCGUUAUUUGAAUUGUAUAUAUUUAAUUAUCACCUAGUUUCAUCUUUAAAUUGUUUGUGGACACGGAGUGAUUAACUCAGCGAACACUCAGCUAAUUCACAAUUAAAUAGCUUCAAGAAGAAUUAGGCACAACGCUGACUUUUCAUACAAGAGAAUUAUCAUUUGGUCAACCAACUCCACAGUUUUCACUUUAACGUGGUCUGCAGGUGCCAACAAGCAGCACUCAGCUGCCAGAGGGCUACGCAGAAGGUUAGUGAUGUAGGUAAGAUAGAAUGUAAGUCCUUCGGGACCACAGGACAGGGAAAGAACCCAGUAUGACUGCGUAAUAUCUCAUAAACUACUUGGGACCCAGGAGUCUUUGUGCCAGCUAUCUCCAUUACUGUUGUGAGGAUGCAAAUUUGGCAAACUAAUCAGCUGCACAGCUUCAGGCUGCUUCUGUAGCACCCCAAUUCUCUGUUGUAAGUAAACCAAUUGAAGUCUAUUGGUGUGAGGCAGACAACAAGCCAAGUUCACAUUGCUAAAAGGGUGCCUCAAACCAAAAUCCAGGCUAUUACAUUUUUGCACGAUUAUAUUGACGAUGCACAGACUUAAAAGAAAAUAAGGAAUCCUUAAGGCAGGUUACAGGCUUCUAGAAAACCCACAAAGUAAGACACACAUCUAAAACUAAGCACUGAUUUUUAAGGAAUUUGGGUGGGACCAAUUAGUUACAUGCUCGAUGUAUCUGAAAUAUAAUUGUAAGUAAAUAUGGCAUUUCUGCAGGGAAAAUGUCACCAGUGUUUGAAAUAAAAAGAUCGAGACAUUUUUAUUUAAGCACUCCCUUGUUGCUUUUAGUAAGUUUAGGAAAGAAAACAUUAAUUAAAGCUCUUGAGAGGUUUUUUUUAACCAAUAAGUAAAAAUAUAUUACAACUUGAAUUCAUGGUGACUUCCUCUGAAUUUAUUCAAAUCAAAGCCUGACAGAUUUGAAACACACACUUCUAAAGAACUGUGAAAAAUUGUUGCUUUAUCAUUUUCAAAGAACAGCAAAUGGCCAUAAUUUGUGAUGAUUGAAACAUGUUGCGGCACAGGCAGGCUAUUCUAAAAUAUUUCAAGCUCUGCACCAGAAAGUACAUAUCAUUUGGCUGAAAAAUGGCAGCAUUUUGACAAGUAUAAAGCAUUUUUCACAAAUUUCCAAUCUAAUUGUGCUUUUAAGCUUCAGCCUCUGUAAUUUUGCAAGAUGAGUUGUUCCAAUGAGCAAACAUAUGGUAGGGGAUUUGAAGCCACAUAGCUGGAGUGCAUCAUAGACUUAUCCCCUGUUUUACUGACACGAGUAUCCACGGUUGAAUUUGUCCACCCACCCAUUAAAAAAGGGAAGAAAGGGGUGUAAGUGGAUUACAACUGCCAAUCCGGACUAAACAGAGAACAAAAACUAUUAGAGGUUUUAAAAAACCUUGAGGCACUGAAAUGAUUUUUGUUUAUUUGCUUUCCAUGUUAAGUUAAAUAUCUGUCUACAUUAAUCAUUAAUGAACCUGUAGCAGCUUGCCCAAUAAACCUUCCUUAAUGAACAGCAGCGAGAGCAGUGUUAUCAUAACUGUGGCUCCGUUAACAAACAGAAAUAGGCCUUUCUACUCUGCUGAAUGCAAAGUUCUUAAAUAUUGGGGAGGAGCUGUGGAUCUGCUAUGGACUACCAAACCCAGUGGAAAAUGCUGCAAUAUGCUGUGGCAGAACUGAUGACAAGGAGGAAAGAUUUCUGGAAGAUGAAAAGCAAAUGCUCAAUUAUCAGCAAGAACCGGUAUAUUUGUUUUGCUCAAGCAUACUCUGAAGGUGAUAGUAAAUACUGGAAACAUCAUCAACAAUAACAUGAAGGGAAGAUAGACGCAAAAAGCUGGAGUCAUUCAGCAGGUCAGACAGCAUUUCAGGAGAAAAAAUAAUCUCUUCAGAAGAAGGAUCUCAACCCGAAAUGUCGCCUAUUCCUUUUCUCCAGAGAUACUGUCAGACCUGUUGAGUUACUCCAGCAUAUUGUGUCUAUCUUCGGUUUAAACCAGCAUCUGCAGUUCAUUCCUACCAAUAACACAAAGUGUCCACAAUGAUGUCUGUCUAUUUCCAUCCACAGAUGCAGUCUGACCUCCCUGAGUUCGUCCAGCAGUUUGUUUUUUACUUAAGAUUCGGUCUCUCGUGUCUGUACAACAUGGAUCAGGCCACCUG